GAUGAACGCUGGCGGCGUGCCUAAUACAUGCCAGUCGAGCGAACGGACGAGAAGCUUGCUUCUCUGAUGUUAGCGGCGGACGGGUGAGUAACACGUGGAUAACCUACCUAUAAGACUGGGAUAACUUCGGGAAACCGGAGCUAAUACCGGAUGAUAUUUUGAACCGCAUGGUUCAAAAGUGAAAGACGGUCUUGCUGUCACUUAUAGAUGGAUCCGCGCUGCAUUAGCUAGUUGGUAAGGUAACGGCUUACCAAGGCAACGAUGCAUAGCCGACCUGAGAGGGUGAUAGGCCACACCGGAACUGAGACACGGUCCAGACUCCUACGGGAGGCAGCAGUAGGGAAUCUUCCGCAAUGGGCGAAAGCCUGACGGAGCAACGCCGCGUGAGUGAUGAAGGUCUUCGGAUCGUAAAACUCUGUUAUUAGGGAAGAACAUAUGUGUAAGUAACUGUGCACAUCUUGACGGUACCUAAUCAGAAAGCCACGGCUAACUACGUG
rnacentral:rRNA from 1 species